rnacentral:tRNA from 1 species
AUUACUUUGACAGAAACCCAAUGUAAUAAAUUUAGAAUUUAUUUAUGUAAUAAUUUACAAGUAAUA